ACAUCAUGAUGCUCAAUCUUGUGUUCAAUAUCAUUCCCCUAUAUGCAUAUGCACGCAAUGCGCUGAUAAUAUCGAGACAAACAUUUCUAAAGGUCCUAACUAACAUUUUUACUCAAAUUGAGUUAUCACUAUUUUCCAAAUCCUCAGCAUAAAAUAUAACGAUUUUCAUUUAAAAGUUAACUUUUUUUUAUUUAUUAACCUUAAAAUUCGAAAAGAACAAAACGACCCAACUGCAUUAUCGAUAAUAUCGACCAGCUCUAUUGAUGGGACUUUUUGCUCGCCGAAGGUCUCAUCUGUCAUUUUCGAUUUUUGUUUACAAAAUUGCACAUGGGACCUUUGGCAUGCAAGCGAGCUCUCACAGUAAUUUUGAAACUAUUUUGAGUUAAAUUAAUAAAAAUGGAUCCUACACAAGACCAAUUCCGGAUGUUCAUACAAGCAGCAUCAUGUCGAAGCCAAAGAUCCGAUGGCAGCAGUCACUAUGGUAGUCAACCUACACCUCCGCAGAUAGAUGAUUCGUGCGAUGAAAAAUUCAAGCUACGGGAGAGUUGCAAAUGCCGAACCUGCACCUUCAAAGAAGGAUAAUUCAGUUUUUAAGCUCUCUAAGGGCCGAUUUCUUCACCUUCGCUUAAGUCGUAAACCACGUUUACCCAUACGAUUAAACCAGGUUUAAGGCCUAAGCGGUGGUGAAGAAACCGCUUAUAAGAGGAAAAGCGCUGAAUCGCCACGGAGCUGGAAGAAGCGCACUAGAACUUUUCAAAAUGGUACGGAGACUCUACCGAAGCAGCAUGCUUGAAAUUAACUGCAGGACAGGUCAACAAUCCUUGCAAAAACAGCAGCAUUCAUCGUGUUCCGUUUCAUGAGAUGAAAAUGUCAAGCUACGGGAAUGUUGCAAAUGCCCGUACAACGGAUUGGAUUUUGCAACAGAAUCACGCAAAGUACGACAGAUGUAGGUUAACAGAUUUAUCCAACACUCGAGUCAAAAGCAGCAAUCUCUCCUCUACAGUAGCCACGCCACCCAUAUAUCGAUCUUUGAAGUCUCACUCUGCAUCCAUCAAAGGAAAUGAUAAAUCACUGAGAAAACUGAUCAGUGAUUCAACGGGUACAGAAGAAAUGAUCGAUCUUGAUUCGAUUCCCAGUUACUGUAAAGAAAAUGUCGUUAAAGCAAGUCAUCAGCAGUAUCGAAAAAGCGUUAUUGAAGAAAGAGAGCAGAUCAGCCCAAGCCUGGCUUCUACAAAAUGCAAAGAACAAAUUAUAAUUUCAUUGGAUCAUCCAUACAUUAAGGUGUUCGAACUCUUAGUGUCACCCUCCAUCAUGCUCAAAGAUGCGAGUACAAGUCUAAUGUCUUCUGCGAGGUCUGUUGAUUGCAAUCUUCUUUAAAGUAUGCAAAAAAAACUGUAUGUUCAGACUUGAAGUAGAUUGAAUAUUAUCCCUCAAAUGCUUAUAUUUUGACAGAUUCGAGAAUUUCGACUACCACCAGUCUUCAACAGUAUCGUACACUCAUGUGCACUGGAUAAGUUCUCCUUUUGUAAUAUUCAUCCCAUCCUCUUUCCCGCAUUAUUAUCUUAAAGCGUGUAUGAGCAAUAUCAUAGACUGUACACUGCAUGCCUUUGAUACAAAAGAAAAAAGAAAAUCUACCAAAAAAUCAUAUUUUUUUUUUUUUUUUUUGAAUACCUCACUAUUGCCCAAUAAUUUGAAUAAUAUUUUACUCUAGUUGACGUAAAUUUGAUUUGAAUCCAUUAUUCUUUACAAACUUAAUCAACAUUUACCAGUUUUUAUUGAGUUUUACAAAUGUCCCAAGUAACAAAGGUAUUUUCAUAAAGACCCAUUUGAUAGGUCCCAAUUGACAAUAAAAGUGCAAAAGGUCUCAUGUGAUAAAAAUAUCCAAAAAUAACGAAAACAUGUAGUUUUCCGCAGAACGAACAUCAUUUUUGAAUUUUUGAGCUUUUUUCACGUUUAGAAAUGAAGUUCAAUGUCUUAUUUUAUGUUUCUAUUCUGAUUGGCAUUUGAUUUUCAUCACGAUUUUUUCGAAGCUUAUUUUCUCCGAUAAAGGCAAAAGUCUGAUGGGACCUUUUGAAAUGUUCGUCUCGAU